rnacentral:rRNA from 1 species
UACGAAGGGGGCUAGCGUUGCUCGGAAUCACUGGGCGUAAAGCGCGCGUAGGCGGCUUGCUAAGUCAGGGGUGAAAUCCUGGAGCUCAACUCCAGAACUGCCUUUGAUACUGGCGACCUUGAGUCCGGGAGAGGUGAGUGGAACUGCGGGUGUAGAGGUGAAAUUCGUAGAUAUUCGCAAGAACACCAGUGGCGAAGGCGGCUCACUGGCCCGGUACUGACGCUGAGGCACGAAGGCGUGGGGAGCAAACAGG